rnacentral:rRNA from 1 species
CGCAGGCUGCAACCCGCCUGCGUGAAGUUGGAAUCGCUAGUAAUCGCGGAUCAGCAUGCCGCGGUGAAUACGUUCCCGGGCCUUGUACACACCGCCCGUCACACCAUGAGAGUCGGGAACACCCGAAGUCCGUAGCCUAACCGCAAGGGGGGCGCUGCCGAAGGUGGGAUUGGUAAUUGGGGUGAAGUCGUAACAAGGUAAC